GGGGCUGUAGCUCACCUGGCUAGAGCGCUACAAUGGCAUUGUAGAGGUAGUGGGUUCAAGUCCCAUCAGCUCCA
rfam:Treponema porcinum strain ATCC BAA-908 genome assembly, contig: EI69DRAFT_scaffold00016.16